GCGCUUGGCCGAGUUGGUCCUGACGAUGUUGGGCGGUUCGAGCCUGCUCGCCGAGCUCGCGCCGGGCUUCGGCGACCCGUUCGAUCGGGUUCGAGCGUGC
rnacentral:tRNA from 1 species